rnacentral:tRNA from 1 species
GAGUGUAUAGCUUAAUGGUAGAGAGCAUACCUAGCAUGCACAAGGUCCUGGGUUCAAUCCCCAGUAUCUCU